rnacentral:lncRNA from 1 species
AUGUGGGGGGCCCCAGACUGUGAUGGGCUCACAGUUGUAGUUGGGCAACAGAGGUCUGAGAGCAGUCCCGGGGAAAACAGGGACAAGAGAUUUGGGAGCUGCUGUGGUUCUUGUCCCAGCAUUGGAGACCAAGGCGAGCGGGUUGGAGCUGGCAGGGAACACCGAGGGCUGGCAGUCCCGGGGGGCUUUGUCCUGGGGGGUGAGGAUGGGCCCUGUGGCUGCCCCAUCUGUGGGGGGCACUCCCUGCUGGGGGCACACGGUGGCACCCUGAGACAUCUGUGCCAGUGCGAGGCGAGCACGCGGGGCCUUGCGGGGAUAACGGGGCAGCUGGGGCAGGGUGAGUUGGGCUUCUUGGGCACCUGGGCUAGUACAGGGUUGCACCCACGGGGUCCCUGCUGCCCUGAGGCACCAUACGGCUCCUCCUGCCUGCAGGUAUCGGCCCCACCAUGCCAAAAAACCCCGUCCCACCCCUUCCUUCUGCUCUCUCUGCAGACACGCUUCGCUGCGGAUGGCACCGGGCUCUCUGGGACGAGCACGGAGGGGCUGUCACCAGAGGCGGAGGAGCUGGAGAGGGCGCAGCAGCGGGGCGAGGGGACGGAGUGGCGGCUGGAGGUGCACGAGCAGCUGCUGGCCCUGCGGCACUGGCUGGACGCCGUGGAGAAGAGGCUGCCGGAGCCGGGCCCUGCGCUGCAGGUAUCGGGCUGGCCCCGGGCGAACGGCGGCCGGCAGAGCCAGGCAGGACCCAGCCCACGGUUCACAGAGGCUGGUGAGGUCUCGGUCCCCAAACGGGACAGCGCCUGGCUGCGGCUGGUGGCAACGACACGGCCCUGCCAACCUCCCCCUGGCACCGAGGGAGCAGGCAGGGGGCUGUGUCCCCACGGCGCUCACCCAGACCUGCCCAUGGCACGGCUGCGCCUCCGUACCCCACCGCCACCUCCUUUGGCUGCGGAGGGCUUGGAGCCUCGAGCCCCCACUGGCAGCCAGUCCCUGCCACCCCCUGCCCCUGGCUCAGCCCCGUCCUGCGUCCCCUGCAUCCAGCCAGGGCCGUGCAGCUGCGCAGGGAGGGCUGCACGCGCUGCCCAGCCGUGUCCCCGCCGUGUGCCCAUCUGCUCGCAGGGCCCUGCCAGCAGGGUGUGAGGCGUCCCCCUGGUGCGGGGCAGCAGCGGGAGCACCCGGCCGGUGGGGGCUGCCCUGGCCAACCCCUCCUCGCGGCCCUGUGAGCAGCCCCUCGCUGGCUCCUUUUGUUCUGGGGCUGGCCAGCACACGGGCUCCCCGCGCACACAUGACAGCACAAACUGAAAGGGCCAUUCAUCGCGGCCCUGGCGCAGACAAAGCCGAGGCCGAGGAGAAACCCACCCAGCUCCCGGGAUCUGAGGCUGUGGAUUCCAGCCGCCCGCUCCCGCCGCUGCCCCGCGCUGGGCUCGCUCUGCCCGGGGCACCCGCGCCACCCCCAGCCCGUACCUGAGGCCGGGGAGCGUGCCAAGGGAGCUCCUGGCAGGCGCGGGUCGGGCACAGCGAGCGGCUCCGGGAGGGAGCCGGGGCUGCUGCCCCCACCUCGGGGGGCCCUGGCCGGGCGCUCGGGGCACGGGAGCCUCAGCAGCGUGGGGGCUGUGCCGGGGGUGUCCAGGCUCCUGCUCGCCCUCCGUGGGGCUGCGUGGUGGGGGGCGAGAGCCGUGCUGCAGGAGCAGAUGGAGCUGGGUUUGGGGGAGCAAUAGAGGGGUGCAGACCCCCC